UGUUUCGGCAAGGGGGUCAUCCCGACUUACCAACCCGAUGCAAACUGCGAAUACCGGAGAAUGUUAUCACGGGAGACACACGGCGGGUGCUAACGUCCGUCGUGAAGAGGGAAACAACCCAGACCGCCAGCUAAGGUCCCAAAGUCAUGGUUAAGUGGGAAACGAUGUGGGAAGGCCCAGACAGCCAGGAUGUUGGCUUAGAAGCAGCCAUCAUUUAAAGAAAGCGUAAUAGCUCACUGGUCGAGUCGGCCUGCGCGGAAGAUGUAACGGGGCUAAACCAUGCACCGAAGCUGCGGCAGCGACACUAUG
rnacentral:rRNA from 1 species